UACGUAGGGUGCAAGCGUUGUUCGGAAUCAUUGGGCGUAAAGCGCGUGUAGGUUGCUGAGAAAGUCGGUUGUGAAAUCCCUGGGCUUAACCGAGGAAGUGCAUCCGAAACUUCUCAGCUAGAGAUUGGUAGAGGAAGGUGGAAUUCCAAGUGUAGAGGUGAAAUUCGUAGAUAUUUGGAGGAAUACCUGUGGCGAAGGCGGCCUUCUGGGCCACAUCUGACACUGAGACGCGAAAGCGUGGGGAGCAAACAGG
rnacentral:rRNA from 1 species